GAUGAACGCUGGCGGCGUGCCUAAUACAUGCAAGUCGAGCGAACAGAUGAGGAGCUUGCUCCUCUGACGUUAGCGGCGGACGGGUGAGUAACACGUGGAUAACCUACCUAUAAGACUGGGAUAACUUCGGGAAACCGGAGCUAAUACCGGAUAAUAUAUUGAACCGCAUGGUUCAAUAGUGAAAGACGGUUUUGCUGUCACUUAUAGAUGGAUCCGCGCCGCAUUAGCUAGUUGGUAAGGUAACGGCUUACCAAGGCAACGAUGCGUAGCCGACCUGAGAGGGUGAUCGGCCACACUGGAACUGAGACACGGUCCAGACUCCUACGGGAGGCAGCAGUAGGGAAUCUUCCGCAAUGGGCGAAAGCCUGACGGAGCAACGCCGCGUGAGUGAUGAAGGUCUUCGGAUCGUAAAACUCUGUUAUUGGGGAAGAACAAAUGUGUAAGUAACUAUGCACAUCUUGACGGUACCUAAUCAGAAAGCCACGGCUAACUACGUG
rnacentral:rRNA from 1 species